GACGAACGCUGGCGGCGUGCUUAACACAUGCAAGUCGAACGAUGAAGCUGGAGCUUGCUCCGGUGGAUUAGUGGCGAACGGGUGAGUAACACGUGAGCAAUCUGCCCUUGACUCUGGGAUAACUGCGGGAAACUGUAGCUAAUACCGGAUACUUUCACUGGAAGGCAUCUUCUGGUGAAGAAAGAAUUUCGGUCAAGGAUGGGCUCGCGGCCUAUCAGCUUGUUGGUGAGGUAACGGCUCACCAAGGCGACGACGGGUAGCCGGCCUGAGAGGGUGACCGGCCACACUGGGACUGAGACACGGCCCAGACUCCUACGGGAGGCAGCAGUGGGGAAUAUUGCACAAUGGGCGCAAGCCUGAUGCAGCAACGCCGCGUGAGGGAUGAAGGCCCUCGGGUUGUAAACCUCUUUUAGCAGGGAAGAAGCGAAAGUGACGGUACCUGCAGAAAAAGCACCGGCUAACUACGUGCCAGCCGCCGCAGUAA
rnacentral:rRNA from 1 species